ensembl:lncRNA
GCCUCCUCUGUCCCCUUAGGUUGGCAUCAAAGCAUCGGAGGAUGGAGGUUUCUCGUCCAUCAUCAUCCACGUCUGUGCACUAAGGCACUGCAGGGCUGUGUGAAGAAGGAAAGUUUGAAAACGUCUGAGAUCUCCGACACUGGGCCUCUGGUUCCACCCGGUGGGGCAGCAGGAGCUGAAGCAGGGGACCCGGCAUUGAAGUCUAUUUACAACCCGGUUACAGUGUAUCCUGUUUUCUCCCUGCUGCGCUGGGCUGAGUAUCUAACAAAAGAUUCUCUGAGUAUCUGAAAACAAGAGGUUCUGGGGGCAGAAUCUAUGAGAAAUUGUCACAGUGUGUCUGUAUUUUGUUUUUGUCAAAGGUGCAUAAUCUUUUCCAGGUUUUUCUGCUCUUCUCCAUUCUUUAAAGAAAUGAGAGAAAAGAGGCCAGUUUCCAAAAAGGGGGAGGUGCUGGCCAAGAGCCCAGGAUCUUCCUUCUGUCUCAGAAGGAAAUGUGAAGGUGGUUUGAGUUUGAAAUAAAGAUGGUGUGAGGGGUGGGGGAAGAAUUUGUGUUCUGGAGUCUGACGUCAUGGUCCUCUGUGGCCCCCACGCCCCCUCAAACAACUGUGCAAUAAGUGGAUGUUGGACAAAGUUACUUUUGAAUGUUUACUCAAAUCUCGUAUUUUGAAAGAAAUCAAUAUGAUGUGAGGGACAAAGCAGGGUCAUCCCGCUUCUGCCACCUCCAUGCACACCUCAUCCCACAGGAAGGGGGAUGAAGGGGACUUCUCGGCCAUCUUCAAGAAUGUGCAAGGUGCGUCCUUCCCAGAGGGAUCAAUCCUAUCUCUUGCACGACGUGUCUUGGAAUGAUCUGGCCUUUUUUUAUUAUGGAAAAUUUUACUGUAUCCCAAAGUAGAGAGAACAGCGUAACAAGCUCCUGUAACCACCAUCCAGCUUACUAAUGAUCAACUCAUAACUCACCUGGUUUCCUCUAUGCUCCCUUCCCCCAAACUUGAAUAUUUUGAAGCAAAUCUCAGGCAUUAGAUAAUUUUUUCCAUAAUAGGUAUGAAACUUUAAAAUAUGAGAAAUAUUUUUUAACAGAACAAGAACCAUUCCUAUACUUUAAAAAAUUGACAGUCCUUAAUAUGAUUGUAUAUCCAGUCCGUGUUCAAAUUCCCUGAUUAUCUCAAAAUUGUUAACUAUUUUUAGUUCGAAUCAGGAUCCAAAUAAAAUCCAUGUGUUGUACAGCUGACAAGUUUAGGUCUAUUUUGAUCUAACAGUCACCCCUCCCUCCUUUUUCUUUUCUUUUCCUUGUAAUUUAUUCAUUGGGGAAACUGGGUAAGUGGAUAUAGAAUUUUCCAUACAGUCUGUAUUUUGCCAAUUUAAUCUUCUUCUGACCCCUGUGUGUCCAGUGAAUUUAUAGUCAGAUCCAGAGACUUGAUCAGAUUCCAAUUUGAGUUUUCUGGCAAGAAUACUUCCUAGAUGAUGUGUCUUUCCCUCAGGAGGCACAUAACGUCUGGUUGUCUCUUUUUUUGUGUUACUAACAGCUAUUGAUGAUCAUUAUACAGAUCCAUUAGGAAAUGUAAAUUGGCCAUAGGCAAAUUAUAUCGUUCCUUUAUAAUGCAUUUACCUGAAAUACUCUAUAAAGAGAAACUUCUCUUUAUCUACUACUUGGCUGAAAUACAGAUUGUAUAGGAAACAGGCUAAGUGCUUGAUUCUUUUCCUUUUUUUUUACUGGUUUUCAAAAUAAUAAGUUGGUUCUCUAGGAUCCUCCAAAUGUGACCAGUGCAAUUUUUUGACCAAUGAACAUUUAAACAUAUCAUCAUAAACUCAUGGACCUUUAAUACGUCUGGUGGUUCCAAUACGCUGCAGGGGUAUUCUUACUGAUACUCACAUUCUUCCACCUUUGACCAGUGGGGUCCUCCGCAGGGUGGCUGAGUCCUUCUGACACAGCCCGACCAUCCGCCAUGGUUUCCUUGCUUUCUAUUAGGCAACACCACGCAGGCUCACCUUGUAAUUUUCUGCCCCAGAUUUGGAAUCAGCCAUUUCUCCAAGGAAAACAGGAUUUAAAGAUCACAAUCUGAGUACUAUGUGUACUCAUUCUACUGGGUUGGUUAUUUGCUUCUAGGCUUUUUCCAUGGAUGGAGCUAGGAAAUACUUUUUUUUUUAAGAUAAAAUAUAUCAUGAGUCCAUACUGGUACUUCCAUUUCAAAUUCAAGGCUUUGGGGUUUUUACGUAACCUCACCAGUCUCACAUCUGUGUUUCCUUUCUCAGGUAUCAAUUCUUUUCUCUCACUCUGAUUAACACUGUUUUUAAAGAUGUUCAGAGAAAGAGAUUCCAAAGUCUCCUGGGAACAGAACACACUGCUGCUUGCCUCCCCCAUGAAUCAUUGAUCUGGGCAGGGCAGGCACAAAUUAAAUUUUAAAAAUUGAAAUUGAAAUGACUGUGUUUGGAGCUCCCCUCUAGGUUUUCUUUCAGAGAAGCUAAACUACAGUAACUUUUAGCCUUUUGUCUUCUGAUUAUCUCAAAGAUUGUUUGGAAAACCAGCCCUCAUUCUUCCAACCAGUUCUGGUAAAUGCUUAGGUUAGUCUCAGAGGGACCAACUGGUUUCCAGAGAAGCAAGAGUGAGUGACCUGACUUGGUGUUUGUAGGAGUCUGAGGUUGGACCACAGGUCACCGCCCUCCUUACCUCUGGAGCCAUCCUUGGAGUUGUCAGGUUCUCAAACAAUUUCUGGGUGUUGAAAGUUAUCAAUCUGAGUUUUGGGGAGGACCGACACCAGGACCCUGCGUGAGACGCUUGUUUAGGAAGACACAUCCUCAGAGUUAAGGGGAAGAAAGUUCACGGCUCUAAUAAGCACAAAACAACUAGGGUUUGCUGUUUCUCACGGGGCUUAUCAUCUUGUUGUCUUAUGAGAAGUAGAUAUCUAUUUCAUGCCGCUCAUGAGGAAGGACCUAAGAAAGAGAAAUUUCCCAAGGCUUUAUCUUAACUACAGUAGGUCUGGUGAGGGGCUCGCUGAGUCACAGAGUUACAGAAUGGCACGGUUGGAAAGUCCCUGAGUCAUCUCAUCAAGUUUUCAACUUCCUUGAAAAUAAGGACCUAGAACCUUUGCUUAAAAACAAACUAAUGAGCAAACAGGCAUAUAAGCAAGCAAACAAAAAAAAUAAAUAAACAGCCUAGAUCCAUCAGUGAGAGUUUCCAGGGAGGGUUUGGUAAUCUCAGUACUUCACCACCACCCCAGGGACUCUUAUCUUUGGGGAAGUUUUGGAAACACUGUAAUCCAACACCCUGGGUUUUCAGAUGCUGAGAUUGAGAUGCAUGUCGGGAAAGGGAUGUGUCAAAGUCACCCCAAUGGAGGAGAAUAGCUAAUAUUCCUGAAGGACACAUCCCCUACAGUUAGUACCCAUGUGCCCACACUUAACCAUGGUGUUUCUUUAACAUGUUGGUGGUGUCGUUGCCCAAUGACUCCACAGACCAAGGAAGUUGUAUAAAUAAGUAUUAACGGGCCCUCAUGGCUAAGUCCAUGGUAAGGAAGAAGUUUUUACCUCGUUGUGCUUUUGUUUUCCUUUAGAAUCUCAGAAAGGUCUUCAUCACAGCAAAACAUGUUUUCAGAGCUUGGCUUUGUUGGGAAACGUAAGACUUUGAAAUGCAAACACACCUUGCGCCAAGAGCCCCAGUGAGUCAGAAGGCCUUGCUUAAAGAAAAACUAACAUUUAAAGUUGAAAGCAAGAUGAAAGCACUACACAAGGAUUAUUUCCCUUAUCUUAGCCAUUGGCCGGAGUUUAUUCACCUGCUAUACUCACCACGUUCGAUCAGUGUGCCAUGAGGAACGUUGUUCUGGAGACAUUGAUAGAUGCGCUGCCAGCAAAGACUCUUCCUGAUCAAAGUCUGGGAGAUCCUGCCUUCAGCCACCUUCUCGUGGAAACACAGAAAGCACAUUAGCCUACUGCUGGUGGGCCCAAGGGCAGAGAAAGAAAGCAAAAGCCUAGACUGCCUCCCAACAGGAGUCCCUUCCGUGGAAGGAGGCCCCUGCCCUCCGCCCCAGGGGUCAGAGGGCAGCAAGCACACAGCUUGGUCUCCUCGGGUCUGGCUGGCCCCUCACUUCCUGCUCUGACCCUCAAACUUCAGGCACACCCCCAGGAACCACGAG